GCUUGUCUCAAAGAUUAAGCCAUGCAUGUCUAAGUACAAGCCUCAGUAAGGUGAAACCGCGAAUGGCUCAUUAAAUCACACCUAAUCUACUGGAAAGUUACUAGUUACUUGGAUAACUGAGGUAAUUCUUGAGCUAAUACAUGCGAAAAAUCUCGACUCACGGAGAGAUGCUUUUAUUAGAUCAAAACCAAACGGCUUCGGCCGUCUCAUUGGUGACUCUGAAUAACUUUGGGCUGAUCGUAUGGCCUUGUGCCGACGACGUUUCCUUCGAAGGUGUGCCCUAUCAACUUUCGAUGGUAAGGUAUUGGCUUACCAUGGUUACAACGGGUAACGGGGAAUUAGGGUUCGAUUCCGGAGAGGGGGCCUGAGAAAUGGCCACCACUUCCAAGGAAGGCAGCAGG
rnacentral:rRNA from 1 species